rnacentral:rRNA from 1 species
CGUACACUCCUACGGGAGGCAGCAGUGGGGAAUAUUGCACAAUGGGCGCAAGCCUGAUGCCGCCAUGCCGCGUGUAUGAAGAAGGCCUUCGGGUUGUAAAGUACUUUCAGCGGGGAGGAAGGCGAUAAGGUUAAUAACCUUGUCGAUUGACGUUACCCGCAGAAGAAGCACCGGCUAACUCCGUGCCAGCAGCCGCGGUAAUACGGAGGGUGCAAGCGUUAAUCGGAAUUACUGGGCGUAAAGCGCACGCAGGCGGUCUGUCAAGUCGGAGGUGAAAUCCCCGGGCUCAACCUGGGAACUGCAUUCGAAACUGGCAGGCUAGAGUAUUGUAGAGGGGGGUGGAAUUCCAGGUGUAGCGGUGAAAUGCGUAGAGAUCUGGAGGAAUACCGGUGGCGAAGGCGGCCCCCUGGACAAAGACUGACGCUCAGGUGCGAAAGCGUGGGGAGCAAACAGGAUUAGAUACCCCUGUAGUCCCA